rnacentral:rRNA from 1 species
GACAGAGGAUGCAAGCGUUUAUCCGGAAUGAUUGGGCGUAAAGCGUCUGUAGGUGGCUUUUCAAGUCCGCCGUCAAAUCCCAGGGCUCAACCCUGGACAGGCGGUGGAAACUACCAAGCUGGAGUACGGUAGGGGCAGAGGGAAUUUCCGGUGGAGCGGUGAAAUGCGUAGAUAUCAAGAGGAACACCUGCGGCGAAGGCGGGUUGCUGGGCCGACACUGACGCUGAAGCGCGAAAGCCAGGGGAGCGAACGGG